rnacentral:rRNA from 1 species
UAAUACGAAGGGUGCAAGCGUUAAUCGGAAUUACUGGGCGUAAAGCGUGCGUAGACGGCCUGUUAAGUCGGAUGUGAAAGCCCCGGGCUCAACCUGGGAAUGGCAUCCGAUACUGAUGGGCUAGAGUGCGGUAGAGGAGAGCGGAAUUCCCGGUGUAGCGGUGAAAUGCGUAGAGAUCGGGAGGAACAUCCGUGGCGAAGGCGGCUCUCUGGACCAGCACUGACGUUGAGGCACGAAAGCGUGGGGAGCAAACAGGAUUAGAUACCCUGGUAGUCCACGCCCUAAACGAUGUCGACUGGAUGUUGGGCACACUUUGGUGCUCAGUAUCGAAGCUAACGCGUUAAGUCGACCGCCUGGGGAGUAUGCGCGCAAGCGUG